rnacentral:rRNA from 1 species
AUUGAACGCUGGCGGCAGGCCUAACACAUGCAAGUCGAGCGGAUGAAGGGAGCUUGCUCCUGGAUUCAGCGGCGGACGGGUGAGUAAUGCCUAGGAAUCUGCCUGGUAGUGGGGGAUAACGUCCGGAAACGGGCGCUAAUACCGCAUACGUCCUGAGGGAGAAAGUGGGGGAUCUUCGGACCUCACGCUAUCAGGUGAGCCUAGGUCGGAUUAGCUAGUUGGUGGGGUAAAGGCCUACCAAGGCGACGAUCCGUAACUGGUCUGAGAGGAUGAUCAGUCACACUGGAACUGAGACACGGUCCAGACUCCUACGGGAGGCAGCAGUGGGGAAUAUUGGACAAUGGGCGAAAGCCUGAUCCAGCCAUGCCGCGUGUGUGAAGAAGGUCUUCGGAUUGUAAAGCACUUUAAGUUGGGAGGAAGGGCAGUAAGUUAAUACCUUACUGUUUUGACGUUACCAACAGAAUAAGCACCGGCUAACUUCGUG